rnacentral:rRNA from 1 species
UACGGAAGGGGCAAGCGUUGUUCGGAAUCAUUGGGCGUAAAGGGCGCGUAGGUGGUUUUGUAUGUCUAUCGUGAAAGCAUACAGCUCAACUGUAUUACGUCGGUAGAAACUGCAAGACUUGAGGCUGGGAGGGGCUGGUGGAAUUCCCCGUGUAGCGGUGAAAUGCGUAGAGAUGGGGGAGAACACUCGUGGCGAAGGCGGCCAGCUAGACCAGUUCUGACACUGAGGCGCGAUAGCGUGGGGAGCAAACAGG